GACGAACGCUGGCGGCGUGCUUAACACAUGCAAGUCGAACGGAAAGGCCCUGCGUUUGUGGGGUGCUCGAGUGGCGAACGGGGGAGUAACACGUGAGUAACCUGCCCUUGACUUUGGGAUAACUUCAGGAAACUGGGGCUAAUACCGGAUAGGAGCUCCUUCUGCAUGGUGGGGGUGGGAAAGUUUCGGCGGUCGGGGAUGGACGCGCGGCUUAUCAGCUUGUUGGUGGGGUAGUGGCUUACCAAGGCUUUGACGGGUAGCCGGCCUGAGAGGGUGACCGGCCACAUUGGGACUGAGAGACGGCCCAGACUCCUACGGGAGGCAGCAGUGGGGAAUAUUGCACAAUGGGCGGAAGCCUGAUGCAGCAACGCCGCGUGCGGGAUGACGGCCUUCGGGUUGUAAACCGCUUUCGCCUGUGACGAAGCGUGAGUGACGGUAAUGGGUAAAGAAGCACCGGCUAACUACGUG
rnacentral:rRNA from 1 species